CCGUCUUGAAACACGGACCAAGGAGUCUAGCAUGCGCGCGAGUCAUAGGGAACUAAUAAACCCUGAGGCGCAAUGAAAGUGAAAGGCCUCACGGCCGAAGGGACGAUGGCGAACGGUCAGCCGUUCCGGCCCGCAGUCCCGGGGCGUUCGGAGAAAUGCCUCCGUGCGAUUAUCCGGACGCACCGAGAGCGCUCACGCUGGGACCCGAAAGAUGGUGAACUAUGCCUGGUCAGGUCGAAGUCAGGGGGA
rnacentral:rRNA from 1 species